CGGAACGUGGACAAGAGGUCAAAGUCGCAGAGCUGAAAGAGAGAUUGAUCUGACAAAGGAAGCUCAGAGACGCAGGUUCAAAUCCUGCCGUUCCGA
rnacentral:tRNA from 1 species